CCUGAGGGACUGACUCUCACCUACUGCAUAAGGUGGCAUUUAGACUGAGCGUUGAAGGAGAACGCUGAUCUUAGGAGCCAGGAUUGUGCCUGAUACCUAAAAAGUGUUCAGCAAGUGCUGCUGGCAACCUAAGAAGAGACUUGUGUUCCCGGCAGACGGAAAGAGUGAGACGGUGGAAGCGGGAGGAUCAAGCUCAUUUCGGAUGUGGUAAAGGAAAGAGGAGUCUGAAAUGUCAACAGAUGGGUUGUCUUCUCUUGGGUUCAUGGAGCUGUCUUGAACCUGUGCCUCUACGGUCAGCAUUGGUAGAAGGACGUUUUCUGCAUAUUGUUAGCUGGGAAGGAGACCUAAAUUCAGUUCUAUGAGAGUGUGUUUUUCUUCUGCACCACUAUGAAUUGGAACUAUGUACCCUUACAAAUUGCAUGGUGAUUCUCGGCAAUGCCAGUGUCUGGGCUCCUCCAAACCCAACAUUGGACCUUCUGCUGGGAGUUUCCCAGGCUCUACAGAGAAGCUCAGCUGCAGUCAGCAUGGUUGUUGGUGACAUGAACAUCACUUUAUUGCCAGAGAAAUGAGGCAUUGUGAGUAGCGGGCAAUCUGACAGCAUUGUGGA